AACAGGUCUCUAAAAUGUCAAAGGGCCCACCACUUUUGUUGCGGGAUAUAGAGGGAGGGAAUUAAGAGACCUAUUGUUAAACUCAACGGGUCUCUUAUGUGUGUAAGGGCCCACCAUGACCCUCACCUUUUCCUUUUCCUAUUUUUUUUUAAUUUUUAUUUUAUAUACCAGGGGUGGACCUUUAGAGAGGCUUCACUGGGCCUGGCCCUUGAUAACUUUUGGAAAAAAAAAAAUUAAGGCCCAAUUAAAAAAAAAAAAAAAGAAUAGAAAAGAAAAAAUCAGAUGCCUGGAACUUCUGGAAGGCUGGAACGAAGAAAAAAACAGAUGAACUGAUGAAACCCAUUAACCCAACUACUCCCAAGAAAAGAAACCUGGAAAAGAAAAAAUCUCACGAACUGACGAACCGAUUUCUGGUGCAGUGGUGCUCGUCCAGACGUCCGGUAGAUCUACCUCACCGAGUCAUCGUCCUCACCAGUCACCACAGUCACCAGCCGCCUAGCCUCACCGUAGUUGCCUCAGUCGUCGCUGACCGUUCUUCGUUGUCUCGCUGAUUCGUUGUUCGUUGCCUCAAGCCCUCGUAUCAGAUUUUAAUGUUAUAAUUGAUAAUAGGAAGGAAAAUUACCGGGUUGAUUGCAUUUUGCCUUAUUAUGAUGAUCAAGCAAUCUCCAACCUUUAAUAGCCCAAGCCAAGUAAGAUUUCUAAUGUAGAUUUUCAUUUAUAUGUAUGUAUUAAUCAAUUAAUGUAUGUUAUGUAUCAUGUAUGGGUUGAAAGGCAUGUUUUCAUAGAGUAAAUACAGUAUAGUCAUAUAGACGUGUAUAGUUGUUUGUCAGUUUAAAGCUUGAUUGCUGAAUAUUUUUACACUAAUACGGGCUGUGUAAGCUUGAUUAAUGAUAGAAAUCCUAGUUGAAUUUCCUUGAAGACAUAUAUUUUGCUUCUUUAAUUUUUUGGUAAUAUUUAUUAUAUUUAGCUAUAUUCUUAUACUCCUUGGUAUUUAUAAUAUAAUCUCACAUUGGAUUUUUAAGUAAUUUUCAUAUGCUUAUGUUAUUAUAUUCUUGUUUUAGACGUACACUUAUACUAGACAUUAUUGGCCCCCGAAAGAAAAGGUUUCAAGAUCCGCUACUGUUAUAUACCUCUUCCCUUAUUCAUUAUACAGUUCAUUAUUAUUCAUAUGCUCCUCUCUUUCCUCAUUUCCCCUCAUAUGCCCCUCUCUCUUUCACCCUCAUCACUUGACUCUCCUCUCAUCUCAUUUCUCGUUCUUCUUUCACCCAUAUCAAUUGAACCGCCGCUAACUCCUCCUCAUUAAGUAAUCGAUGCAGAAUUUAUAUUAAAUGUUGAUUAAUUGCUUUGAUAGUCUUGUUGUUCAAGCACAACAAUUGAUAACACGUUUAUAUAUUCAUUUUAUAUGUUAUAUUUGCGGGUUUUUAUCAUGUUUUCUACAUACUUUUAAUCUUUUAGAGCUAUUAUUCUUUAUAUUUCGAUAUUGCUCUCCUUGGUUUGUUUUAUUUUGAUUUUUGUAGGAAUUGGGCUAGAUUUGCUAGAGGUUUGCUUUGAUCGUGAUUCGACUUGUUAAAGGGAGAAAUUUACAUACAAUAAUGGACAUGGCAGCCGCCUCCACGGCUUGCCUGUGGGCGUACAACUCUCUCCACGGCCAUCCUGUGGCCAACUCGUUUUCAUAUGGCAAAGAGCAGCUACGGCAGCCUUCUCCACGGCCUGCCUGUGGUCGAACACGGCUCUCCACAGCCUACCCGUGGUGGCUCCUAAUUGCUGCGUUUUAGGCCCUUAAUUAUGUUAAUUUAGAGUCCUAAGCCCACUAAAAUUCCUAGGAUAUAUAUAGACUAAUAACAAGAUAGAAAAGGGAGACUUUUAUCAUCACAAUUAUUCCAAUUAAUACGUUGUUUUUUUCCUUUCUUCUUGUUCUUCCAACUUUGUUCCAUUGAAGAUUAAAUCAAGUUCUCCAUUAAUUCAAAAAGAUCGGCUCGUAGUCUGGGAUUACGAUAAUGUAUAUAAGAAAAGAGUUUAUACAAAUAUUCACUCUUGCUUGCUCAACACUAUGAGGUUAAUCUUAAUGUAUUAGCUGCCUCAAUGUAGACACUUCCUCUGGUACAGUGGCCUUCGAUAAUAUGAGGUCCAAGAAGUUGGCAGAUGUUGUAUGUCUUAGAUAUUAACUUAGAGAAGAAACAAGGAGAGAUAAUUACUAGAGGUCAUAAAAACUUUGAGCUUAUGCUCCCAGUUUUUUAAAGCGGACCCCUAUACAUAUUCAACUGAAAAUAUUGACGAAAUUAGAGACUUGUGGGCUAAGUAUGUUUUAGAGCUUGAACAAGAUGAUGUUAAUGAAGGAAAUGAAGAUGGUAUAGACAUUGCGUGAGUUUAGUUUAUCCAUUACUUUUGGGAAAAGUAUUGCGAUUUUUAGAAUUUUUUGUAAUGGCUCCAUUGCAAGAAUGCUUCCUCUUAUGUUCUCGAACCCUUCAUUCAAUGCCAUCAAGAACUGAAUGAGUUUGUUCAGUGACUCUGCAUCAGCCAACUUCUUCAUCAUGUUGCAUGUGCAUUUGCUCAUUGCUCCACAUGUACACUCUGGUAUUCCUUCAAUAGAAGAAAUAUGAUCUCAUAAAUUCUUGAGCUUGCAAUAAAAAUUGCCAACUGCUUGAUUCUCUUGCUUCAAGUCACUCAGCUCUUUCUUAAGUUGAUAGAGCAGAGGUGCAUUAGUCUGACCAUAUCUCUCCUUGACUUCAUCCCAUAACUCCUUGGAAGUUUCCAAGUAAAUGAGGCUUUCAGCCAAGUUUGUAGUCAUUGAAGCUAAGAUCCAUCCUCUUACUGCAUUAUCGUUCCUGUACCACUUCCCAUAAUCUGCAUCACCUGGGUUUGGCCUCCUCAACUUACCAUCAAUGUAUCCCAGCUUGUUCCUCAAACCCAAAGCCAUUCUUAUGCUUCUGGUCCAGUUUAGGUAGUUCUCACCAUUAAAAAUGAUGAUUCCCAAUUGCUGAUUAGAACUAUUAUGGUCAGAGUUGGCCAUAUAGUAGGGAUCUGCGUAAGCAUUUCCAGUCUGAUUUGCACCAGAUUCAUUUGUUUCUGGCAUCUUUGAACUUCAAAGAUUGAAACUUUCGGAUUGUUAUGAUGAUUUUACUUGAUUUUGGGCGUUUUCUGCUCUGAUACUUGAUUUUGCGUCCAUAUAUAAAAUGCAACAAACAAUUGGCAACAA